rnacentral:rRNA from 1 species
UUUAACUGAGCGUUCAGUUACUUGACGUAGACCCGAAACCGGGCGACCUACCCAUGAGCAGGAUGAAGCGAAAGUAAAAUUUCGUGGAGGUCCGAACCCACGAGCGUUGAAAAGCUCGGGGAUGACUUGUGGGUAGCGGUGAAAUUCCAAUCGAGCCCGGAGAUAGCUGGUUCUCCCCGAAAUAGCUUUAGGGCUAGCCUCAAGGUGAGAGAUACGGAGGUAGAGCACUGAAUGUCCUAGGGGGUAUUGCACCUACCGAAGACUAUCAAACUCCGAAUGCCGUCAUCUUAUACUUGGGAGUCAGACUGUGGGUGAUAAGAUUCAUAGUCGAAAGGGCAACAGCCCAGAUCGUCAGCUAAGGUCCCUAAAUGUAAGUUAAGUGGUAAAGGAUGUGGGAUUGCACAGACAACCAGGAUGUUGGCUUAGAAGCAGCCACUCAUUCAAAGAGUGCGUAAUAGCUCACUGGUCGAGUGAUCCUGCGCCGAAGAUUUCCGGGGCUAAAACUUACUACCGAAGCUACGGCAUCAGUAAUGAUGGGUAGGGGAGCUUCCCAUACGGGUUGAAGCAUGACCGUAAGGACAUGUGGACAGUAUGGGAGUGAGAAUGUUGGCAUGAGUAGCGAGAUGUGGGUGAGAAUCCCACAGGCCGUAAACCCAAGGUUUCCAGGGGAAGGUUCGUCCGCCCUGGGUUAGUCGGGACCUAAGCUGAGGCCGAAAGGCGUAGGUGAUGGACAACAGGUUGAUAUUCCUGUACUACCGAUAACCGUUUGAGAGAAGGGAUGACACAGUAGGAUAAGCUAAGCACACUGUUGGUUAUGUGUGCCCAAGCAUUGAGGCAGUCAAAGUAGGCAAAUCCGCUUUGAUAAUGCUGGGAUGUGAUGGGGAGCGAAAUUUAGUAGCGAAGUAGCUGAUUUCACACUGUCAAGAAAAGUCUCUAUCGAGGUUAAAGGUACCCGUACCGCAAACCGACACAGGUGGGUGAGGAGAGUAUCCUAAGGCCAGCGAGAGAACUGUUGUUAAGGAACUCGGCAAAAUGACCCCGUAACUUAGGGAUAAGGGGUGCCACCAUCAGGUGGCCGCAGAGAAUAGGCCCAAGCGACUGUUUACCAAAAACAUAGGUUUCUGCUAAGUCGCAAGACGAUGUAUAGGAGCUGACGCCUGCCCGGUGCUGGAAGGUUAAGGGGAUCUGUUAGAGCAAUCGAAGCAGUGAACUUAAGCCCCAGUAAACGGCGGCCGUAACUAUAACGGUCCUAAGGUAGCGAAAUUCCUUGUCGGGUAAGUUCCGACCCGCACGAAAGGCGUAACGAUUUGGGCACUGUCUCAACAACAGACUCGGUGAAAUUGUAAUUCCGGUGAAGAUGCCGGAUACCUGCGACAGGACGGAAAGACCCCAUGGAGCUUUACUGUAGCUUGACAUUGGGUCUUGGUACUACAUGUACAGGAUAGGUGGGAGGCUUUGAAACCAGGACGCCAGUUUUGGCGGAGCCAUCCUUGGGAUACCACCCUUGUAGUACUGGGACUCUAACCAUAGGCCAUGAAUCUGGUCUUGGGACACUGUCAGGUGGGCAGUUUGACUGGGGCGGUCGCCUCCCAAAAGGUAACGGAGGCGCUCAAAGGUUCUCUCAGUACGGUCGGAAAUCGUACGUAGAGUGUAAAGGCAAAAGAGAGCUUGAUUGCAAGACAUACAGGUCGAGCAAGGAUGAAAAUCGGACUUAGUGAUCCGGUGGUUCUGCGUGGAAGGGCCAUCGCUCAACGGAUAAAAGCUACCCUGGGGAUAACAGGCUUAUCUCCCCCAAGAGUCCACAUCGACGGGGAGGUUUGGCACCUCGAUGUCGGCUCAUCACAUCCUGGGGCUGUAGUAGGUCCCAAGGGUUGGGCUGUUCGCCCAUUAAAGUGGUACGCGAGCUGGGUUCAGAACGUCGUGAGACAGUUCGGUCCCUAUCCGUCGCAGGCGUAGGAAAUUUGAGAAGACCUGUCCUUAGUACGAGAGGACCG